UACGUAGGGUGCGAGCGUUGUCCGGAAUUAUUGGGCGUAAAGGGCUCGUAGGCGGUUUGUCGCGUCGGGAGUGAAAACCAGGUGCUUAACACCUGGCUUGCUUUCGAUACGGGCAGACUAGAGGUAUUCAGGGGAGAACGGAAUUCCUGGUGUAGCGGUGAAAUGCGCAGAUAUCAGGAGGAACACCGGUGGCGAAGGCGGAUCUCUGGGCCGUAACUGACGCUGAGGAGCGAAAGCAUGGGGAGCGAACAGG
rnacentral:rRNA from 1 species